UCGGUGCAACUUGUACGGUGCAUAUUGAAAGUUUCUUCUUCUUGUUAUGAACGUGCACGUUUACGUAGCAACCAAAUCGAGCUCGAGCGUGCGGACGUGCUUCGCCCAGAUUGGCACUGGUGCAAGCCAUCCCUCCCAUUUGCAGGUUCGCUUUCAGCAUCGGACGUCCCAACGACCCAACGCCCGAACUCCGGUACCAAACUCUCCUAUAUAUACCUGGCACCGGCUUCACUGCUCUCGAGCACCUCACCAUUCGGCCAGCCUCUCGCCCUCCUCUGCCCUAGCUCUCUCCAUCCUCCUCCGAUACACCCAUAUGGCACCGUUCACGCGCCCAGCCCCACAAACCACCGACUCCCCUAGAGUUACACCCGGAAGCUACGUCCCCCAGAGGGGCCUGGUGCUGAAGCGGGUGCUCAAAAGCCUCCUCUCGUGGCUGCCGCGCCGCCGCCGCCGCCACCGGGCCGGGCGCCCCCGUCACGGCAAGGGCGGCGCCGCGCCGCCGGGCCGUCGUGGCACGUACUAACCAUCAACCACCACCUCUCCUCAAGUGGAGUGUAUCCGUCAAUAUAUUCUGCAGGUCAGGUCAAGUCGUACACGUCAAGCCCGGGCCGGCGUCACAACCGGCGACGACCGAGACUAGUCAGCGAGUCAAGCUAUCGGGGGUGCUCAGGAUGGUGGCAGAAAACCAAGUGUUGGAUCCGGCCUCCAGUCGUCAGUCAACUUAAUACUAUUGUUUCAUUGGUUAUUAUUUCGUUGCAUAAAAUACUGGAUACAUGUAGAUGGACCACACGCUUACUGACGGCAUCUUGCUGUUCGCGUGGCGCGUGCAUGUGUCUCUACGCUGUAAUAGGUCAUGCUGUUUUUUCAUAUAUUUUUCUUUUAUAUAACUCAUACCUUGUUUUUUCGUUCA